rnacentral:rRNA from 1 species
AUUGAACGCUGGCGGCAUGCCUUACACAUGCAAGUCGAACGGCAGCACGGGAGCAAUCCUGGUGGCGAGUGGCGAACGGGUGAGUAAUAUAUCGGAACGUGCCCAGUCGUGGGGAUAACGUAGCGAAAGCUACGCUAAUACCGCAUACGAUCUAUGGAUGAAAGCGGGGGAUCGCAAGACCUCGCGCGAUUGGAGCGGCCGAUAUCAGAUUAGGUAGUUGGUGAGGUAAAGGCUCACCAAGCCGACGAUCUGUAGCUGGUCUGAGAGGACGACCAGCCACACUGGGACUGAGACACGGCCCAGACUCCUACGGGAGGCAGCAGUGGGAAUUUUGGACAAUGGGCGCAAGCCUGAUCCAGCAAUGCCGCGUGCGGGAUGAAGGCCUUGGU